CCCACAGCGCCGCUGCGCACAGCAAUCACCAAACACCGCCCUCUUUCGUUCCCGCCCUUCUCUGCGCCGCCGUCACCAGCAGCACAGUCGUUAAGCCGCUUCACACACUUCUCCUGCCUCCUCCGCCUGUAGAGAGGGAAACGCCAGCCCGAGCCGAGACAAGCCAGCACUCUAGAAAAGAAAAAUCCCAACAACAGCAAACCCAUUCGCCUUCUCCCUUGUUUCGCUUUCUUUCUUACUGCCCGAAAAUGCCUCGCGGAGACCGGGAGAGCGACUGGGUGAGUGAGAGGGAAAAGGAGCAGUUCCGCAAACUAUUCAUUGGUGGCUUAAGCUUCGAAACAACAGAAGAAAGUUUGAGAAACUACUACGAGCAAUGGGGAAAGUUAACGGAUUGUGUGGUAAUGAGAGACCCUGCAAGCAAACGCUCACGAGGAUUUGGUUUUGUAACAUUCUCUUCCAUGGCUGAAGUUGAUGCAGCAAUGGCUGCCAGACCUCAUUCCAUUGAUGGAAGAGUAGUUGAGCCUAAAAGAGCUGUAGCCAGAGAGGAAUCUGGAAAACCUGGGGCUCAUGUUACUGUGAAAAAGUUGUUUGUUGGUGGAAUUAAAGAAGAUACUGAAGAACAUCACCUUAGAGACUACUUCUCGGAAUAUGGAAAAAUUGACACAAUUGAAAUAAUUACAGACAGGCAAUCUGGUAAAAAGAGAGGCUUUGGGUUUGUAACUUUUGAUGACCAUGAUCCUGUGGACAAAAUUGUAUUGCAGAAAUAUCAUACUAUUAAUGGUCAUAAUGCAGAAGUAAGAAAAGCUUUAUCUAGACAAGAAAUGCAAGAGGUUCAGAGCUCAAGGAGUGGGCGAGGAGGUAACUUUGGCUUUGGAGACUCACGUGGAGGUGGUGGAAACUUUGGUCCAGGACCAGGAAGUAACUUCAGAGGUGGAUCUGAUGGCUAUGGAGGUGGUCGUGGAUUUGGCGAUGGAUACAAUGGAUACGGUGGGGGACCAGGAGGUGGCAAUUUUGGAGGCAGUCCUGGUUAUGGAGGUGGAAGAGGAGGAUAUGGUGGUGGAGGACCUGGAUAUGGCAACCAGGGUGGGGGCUACGGAGGUGGCUAUGACAACUAUGGAGGAGGCAAUUAUGGAGGUGGAAAUUACAAUGAUUUUGGAAACUACAACCAACAGCCCUCAAACUACGGUCCAAUGAAGAGUGGAAAUUUUGGUGGAAGCAGGAACAUGGGGGGACCAUAUGGUGGAGGAAACUAUGGUCCUGGAGGAAGUGGAGGAAGUGGGGGAUAUGGAGGGAGGAGCCGUUACUGAACUUCUGUAAGCUUUUCAUGGAUCUUUUAGAUGCUGCUUCUUCAAUGGCAAGGAAAGGAAAUAUCCCCAGCGAGGUACUCUUCCAGGGACACAGGUCUAGUGCAAGAGAACUCUUGAGAACGGCACUAAGUUCAGCCAGUCUUAAAAAGCUGUGCUGUACUUCUGCAAAGCUUUAACUACAGUAGUUUUAUAAGGAUGCCAACGAAAGCUGAGGGUGUAGAGCAAAAUAGUUCUAAGCUUCAGUUAAACUUCUUUAGCUUUAUGCAUCAUGGACAAGCAAUAGAUCUGCUGAGCAAAUGAACCAGCCAAGUGUCCAUUAAUGCUUUGCAAGGGUCCCAUCCCUGCUAUGGUUAGUUAAAAUGGAAGGUGCCAGGCUGCAGGUAACUAAUGAAGAAGUGGUCAACCACAGAAACUUCAAGAAAUAAGAUUUUUUCUCUUCACAAAAUAGAUGGUUUUGCUGGUUUAUAAAACCGUUUUAGGUUAAAUGAACAUUACUGCAGCCUACUGUAAUGCUUUUAAAUAUAUAUAUAUAAAACUAUAGCAACAACUUUUUAGAAUUCAAUCUGGCUAGGAAAUCAAGAUUAAUGUUGAAGAUAGAUAUUGUCAUAUUUUUAUAAGUGAUAAUAAACUUUUAUACAAAAAUA